rnacentral:rRNA from 1 species
GACGAACGCUGGCGGCGUGCCUAAUACAUGCAAGUUGAGCGAUGAAGAUUGGUGCUUGCACCAAUUUGAAGAGCAGCGCACGGGUGAGUAACGCGUGGGGAAUCUGCCUUUGAGCGGGGGACAACAUUUGGAAACGAAUGCUAAUACCGCAUAACAACUUUAAACAUAUGUUUUAAGUUUGAAAGAUGCAAUUGCAUCACUCAAAGAUGAUCCCGCGUUGUAUUAGCUAGUUGGUGAGGUAAAGGCUCACCAAGGCGAUGAUACAUAGCCGACCUGAGAGGGUGAUCGGCCACAUUGGGACUGAGACACGGCCCAAACUACUACGGGAGGCAGCAGUAGGGAAUCUUCGGCAAUGGACGAAAGUCUGACCGAGCAACGCCGAGUGAGUGAAGAAGGUUUUCGGAUCGUAAAACUCUGUUGGUAGAGAAGAACGUGGGUGAGAGUGGAAAGCUCAUCAAGUGACGGUAACUACCCAGAAAGGGACGGCUAACUACGUG